rfam:Gossypium raimondii Chr05_contig_1343, whole genome shotgun sequence.
AAUUAAAAUAUUCAUCCAUUUCUACUAGUAAAAACUAGUAUGGCUGACAAAAUAACCAAAUAGCUAGACAUGGCGUACCAUGUGCACCUUAUACAUGUACCAAUUUUUAACAGUAGAAAUAGAUGAUUUUUUUUAACA